UAGGGAAUCUUCCGCAAUGGACGAAAGUCUGACGGAGCAACGCCGCGUGAGUGAAGAAGGUUUUCGGAUCGUAAAACUCUGUUGUUAAAGAAGAACAAGGAUGAGAGUAACUGCUCAUCCCCUGACGGUAUUUAACCAGAAAGCCACGGCUAACUACGUGCCAGCAGCCGCGGUAAUACGUAGGUGGCAAGCGUUGUCCGGAUUUAUUGGGCGUAAAGCGAGCGCAGGCGGUUCUUUAAGUCUGAUGUGAAAGCCCCCGGCUCAACCGGGGAGGGUCAUUGGAAACUGGAGAACUUGAGUGCAGAAGAGGAGAGUGGAAUUCCACGUGUAGCGGUGAAAUGCGUAGAUAUGUGGAGGAACACCAGUGGCGAAGGCGACUCUCUGGUCUGUAACUGACGCUGAGGCUCGAAAGCGUGGGGAGCAAACAGG
rnacentral:rRNA from 1 species